rnacentral:tRNA from 1 species
CCUUCGAUAGCUCAGUUGAUAGAGCGGUGGAUUGUAGAUCCAUAGGUUGCUGGUUCAAAUCCGGCUCGAAGGA